UUUCCGUAGGUGAACCUGCGGAAGGAUCAUUAUUGUAUAACCGAGGUGCGAUGGCUGCCGCUGACCCGACUGGUCGUUCACGCACGAUUGCUCUCCCACCCAUCCAUCCCACCCCUAUGUGCACCACCUCGUUGGUCCUCCUUUGGCUGGCUGGGAGGGGGCCUUAAGUUUUCACUCAAACUAUGUAUGUCGUGGUUAAUGUAUUUUUUGAUUUUGCGAUCGCGCGAUAAAGACCACUUUCAACAACCGAUCUCUUGUCCCUCGCACCGAUGCAGACCC
rnacentral:misc_RNA from 1 species